GAUUAACGCUAGCGGCAGGCCUAAUACAUGCAAGUCGAGCGGAUGAGUGGAGCUUGCUCCAUGAUUCAGCGGCGGACGGGUGAGUAAUGCCUAGGAAUCUGCCUGGUAGUGGGGGACAACGUUUCGAAAGGAACGCUAAUACCGCAUACGUCCUACGGGAGAAAGCAGGGGACCUUCGGGCCUUGCGCUAUCAGAUGAGCCUAGGUCGGAUUAGCUAGUUGGUGAGGUAAAGGCUCACCAAGGCGACGAUCCGUAACUGGUCUGAGAGGAUGAUCAGUCACACUGGAACUGAGACACGGUCCAGACUCCUACGGGAGGCAGCAGUGGGGAAUAUUGGACAAUGGGCGAAAGCCUGAUCCAGCCAUGCCGCGUGUGUGAAGAAGGUCUUCGGAUUGUAAAGCACUUUAAGUUGGGAGGAAGGGCAGUAAGUUAAUACCUUGCUGUUUUGACGUUACCGACAGAAUAAGCACCGGCUAACUUCGUGCCAGCCGCCGCGGUAAUAC
rnacentral:rRNA from 1 species